rnacentral:rRNA from 1 species
AGCAGCUCAUUGGGCGUAAAGCGUGCGCAGGCGGUUUUGUAAGACAGAGGUGAAAUCCCCGGGCUCAACCUGGGAACUGCCUUUGUGACUGCAAAGCUGGAGUGCGGCAGAGGGGGAUGGAAUUCCGCGUGUAGCAGUGAAAUGCGUAGAUAUGCGGAGGAACACCGAUGGCGAAGGCAAUCCCCUGGGCCUGCACUGACGCUCAUGCACGAAAGCGUGGGGAGCAGACA